AAAAAAAAACAGAAAGGUAGCAUACACUGCACAGAGUCCUGGCUUCCCAGCCUCCCCCCCAUUUUGCACACAAAAUCAAACAUAAAAAUUAGGGUUUCUUUCCUCCAUUUCCAUGGCCUCUCACAACCAUCUCGACGAUGAUGAUGUUUUUGGCGGUGAUUUUCCUGGCAGCCACAACACCGGGCAUUCAGGUAAUAAGAGAAGCUUUGGUGAUCUUGAGGACGAUGAAGAUGAUAUUUUUAGCUCAAAGAAGGUAAAAGCAUAUACAAACAGAAAUAUUUCCACUUUGAGGAAGCUUGCCUAUAUUGAACUCUUAAGACUCUAAUGAACUUAUGGUCCUACAAUGCUUCAGGGUAAUUUAUUUAUGUGCUGUGGAAUUCCAGUGAAUUUUGUAGAACUAAUAUUGAUGUGAAAGAAACCAUUAUGGGUGUGUCUUUGAUAGGAAUUCUACUGUGUGAUCCACGAUCAUGUUAUGUUUUAUAGUUCUUUACUAGUGUUUGUAGACCUUUGAGCGACUCUUUCAAGUCAUGAAAUCAAAAGUUUGUCCAGUUGAAACUUGAAAGUGCCAAAGAAUUGCUUAGUUUUGAGAGUGAAAUCUUGCUUCCUUUAUUGCAGGGUAAUACAAAAGUAGAAGAAACUGCAAUGAUUUUAUCUCUUCGUGAGAGUGUUGAAAAUUGUAAAAAUGCACUCACAACAUGCCAAACAGAGCUUGAAGCUGCGAAAUCUGAAAUUCAGAAGUGGCGCUUAGCAUUUGAGAAUGAAUCUUUCAUACCUGCUGGGGCAUCUCCUGGUUAGUAUAAGUGACACAUUAUGUAUUCUGGCAAAACAUGCUAUUUUCAAAGAACUUAUCCCAUUUGUGAUCAUUCUAGUUUUGUUUCAUUUGUGUUGGUCUUCGUAGAACCUAAACUUGUGAUCAAUUACCUUCAGACCGUGAAAUCCUCUGGGGAGUCUUUGAAAGAACAGGUUUAGUGAUUAAUAAAUUGUUCCUUGUGCACAUUAAGAAAUUUUUGUCAAUCAUGCAGUAUUUAGUCUAUUAUUUGUUCUUGUUAUCAGCUAGAAAAAGCAAAGAAAAAAGAAGCUGCCUUCAUUGUAACAUUUGCAAAACGAGAGCAAGAGAUAGCAGAAUUAAAGGUGAGACCUCAUGUGAUAUGUGACAUUUAUGCUGUAUUAAUACAUUUUCUUAGGAGGCAAAUCUAUCAGGAAUAUUGGAGGAAUGAAUUGGUUGGAAGAGAUAUUGUCAAAAUGAUUAAAUGAAAAGAAUGCAAGUGUAUGCAGUGAUGAAACCAAAAAUUGGUCAUUUAUGCCAUGAGAAAUGGUUCCCUACAAUUAGCCUUUUCAUUUACAAAAUAUCUUGGAAUCUCAUUGAGGAAAUCAAACUUGCACGGCCGGCAAUGUUCAUGGAGUUUCUUCUGGAAGUUUUAGAUAUGCUUAUGUUUUUGACAAUGAAACAAUUGCAUUGUAUUUUAACACAUUUUCUGCAAAUUUUUCCCUUCUAGUUUCUUUCUUGUUGGUAAUUUUAAUGGCUUUCUUCAAGGAAAGUAUUGAGCUCUCUGCUCAAAAGCAAAUCAAAAGGAAAAGAGGGAAAUUGGGAUUGUGGUUUUGAGGAAGGAUCUAAUAGUGUUAAAGAUGUCUUCUAUCUUGAAUCCUACUUAUAAGAGAGAGUUUACCAGAGCUUGUUUAGUUACUAUGUCUAUUCUCUGACUUUGUUGUCUGAUUUCAUUCCUAUCUAACACAAAACCACUCCCGGAUUCCCAGUCUGCAGUUCGGGAUUUGAAAGCACAGCUCAAACCACCAUCAAUGCAGGUGCUGACAAAUCUUAAAAACUUUCCAUUUCAAAAGCUUAAAAUAAAUGUUUUUUUGAGCUUUCCAAUAGAAUUAAUGGAGUGGAGAAGAAGCAUCAAUAUGACUGUCCUUUACAAAUCCAGGUCUUUAUUUACACAAUUUAAACUGUCACAUCAAAUCCACAUCACUUAGUUUCAAAUACCUUAACAAGGUCCAACCAGAUUGCAUAUUAGCUUGUGAAUCGGGCUCAUCUGUAUGAAUACUAGAUCCUGUCACUAGUUUCUUCCUUUCAUGCUGCAUCUUUAGUCAUUCCUGUAUGUUAGUAUCAGUUAAAAUUUGAACAAUUUUUAUUGUUUUUAUCAAUAACAUGUAUUCUUAAUGCACUUCUUUUCAAAUAUUGUUCAAUGAAUGCCACUUCAUCUUGGAGUUUUUUUUGGGAGUUGACUACUUGUGCUCUUAUCUAAUUUUAGCAAAUUGCAAAUAACCAUUAUUCUAGAAUUAACAUGCCGUGCUUCAAAUGUCCACUGCAGUUUUUAGUUACUUUUCCUUUUAGUGGUUCCUUGUUUAUUCAUUUAAAUUUUUGGUUGUCUUGACAGGCAAGGAGGUUACUACUGGAUCCAGCAAUCCAUGAGGAAUUUACUCGUUUAAAGAAUUUGGUUGAGGAGAAAGACAAAAAGGUAAAGGAACUGCAGGAUAAUAUUGCUGCUGUCAAUUUUACCCCACAAAGCAAGAUGGGGAAGAUGCUUAUGGCAAAAUGUAGAACCCUGCAAGAGGAAAAUGAGGAGAUUGGAAAUCAAGCUACUGAAGGAAAGGUACCACGAAUGCUAUUUUGCUGUGGCCCUUUUCAGCUUGUAUUUGUGGUUUGCCUUCUGUGUUUUCUCAGUAAAAAGUUCUUCCCAGUGUGCUGUUCGCUUCUUAUUUUUCCUUUGAGAAAAAUGAUAAGCUAGAUUCCAGUCUAGUUAUUUGAGAUCUUUGUGGGUUAAGAGUGGGGCUGGUGGCUGGAGCAGCUUGCAGAUAGAUGGUGACAGCAACAUCAUUUGAAUAUUUCAAUUUCUUUUAUUGAGAAAGGACUUUAUUUGAAAUUGAUGAGAAAUAUCUGACCUGUAUAUGACUCAGAAAUUUAUAUUGCUCUUUAAUGAGUGUUAAGCAAAGUUACAGAUUUCAUAGUUCACGCUGCUUGGGGACCGACCCGCCCUCCGAUCACAUAUUAGCUCAAUUUUCUUGACGGCUUGAAGGCGAAGCCCAACCAAGGGCAAGCACCUACUUUUAACAAAAUGAAAAGCAGCGAGCUCCUAAAUUAAAUCAAUUUCAUUAUAAAAAUGUGGGCAUGCAUGGAAAAAUAAAGUAUGCACGAACUAGCAAUGAAACUUGCUUUGCAGAAAUCUCAAAAUGCAGAACUCAGGAGUCAAUUUGAAGGACUUCACAAACACAUGGAGGGCCUGACUAAUGACGUGGUGAAAUCAAAUGAAAUGGUACUUGUAUUGCAAGAGGAGCUAGAAGAGAAGGAUCUCGAACUUAAUAGGCUGAAGCUUGAACUCCAGCUGAAAAGCCUUGAGGCUGAAAAAGCUGAUUCAGCUCCUGAUAAUAUAGAUGGCGAUGACAUGAUCAAACGGGAAACUGAGAUAGAAUAGACAAAAACUUUCGGUAGAUUAUUAUCAUUUUUCCCCCGUCUCUGUACAUUAAACAUGCCUCUUAUUAGUUGAUCAUUCUUUUUUUAACAUUUUGUAUCCUGGGGAAUUACAUUUAAUGGCCCAGAUUGGGUCUGAAGGGUAAAAGUCGAUAAAUGACCUACAGGUUGAGAUCAUAAAAAUGCCUACUCUGUUGGAUUAACUCCCAGUCCUAUGAGGAGCCUCGGAAGGCUGAGAUUUGUUCCACAAUUUCAUGGAUCAGAAACUAGGUGGUAGAAGUGAGGGCAGCAAAUAGAUAUUAAAUGCUAAGAUAUCGUUUGAAAUGACUGCGAUCUUGCUCCUGAAUAGCAUCAGUGAAACGUUGAUUCAAAAUCUAUACGGAAUGAUUAAAUGGUAGAUAAAAUAAAAGGUUAUAGAUACACUAAUAUAUUUAUAAAUAUACAGAGACAUGCUGAUGAAUAAUGACAAACAUACAGAAAACUAAUAAUUCUCCCAAACAAAUAUUCAGCUGUCAGUUGUUCUUUACUCGGUCAUUCUGCCGCCAGGCCACCCCACUCCAGCAUUGCCUACGUUUCCAACUGCUUGUAGAGGCUUGAUCAAGCCCUUUCUUGUGUUGCCCAGACCCUCCCCCUCCUUCCAGCCCAUCUUUUCAAGCAUUUUCCUGGCAUAACUCCCAGUUCCAAAUGACAUGUUCAAGGCUUCAGCUGCAGCAUUCUCUGUAGAAGUCGAAACAGGAGAUGAAGGGCUACAAACUUCAUCAACUAAUGUACUCUUUUGCCCAGGGCCCACACCAAAACCACCAUGAAAGUUUCUCCUCUCAGCAGCUCUAUCCCUAUAUUCAUAGAUUCUUUGCUUUUUAGAUAUGGAAUGAUGACUGGGUGAUGUAAACAUGCCCUUGCAAUCAGUGUCUUCAUCUGCCAAUUUUAGUUCACUUUUCUCACUAGAUUUUGUUAAGGGGAUAUAUUGAAUGUUCAUUGAUAAUUCAGGGACACCCCAAUCUUUUGUUGGGUUGGCAGAAUCAUAACUUGACAAGGAAGCCAAGUAUCUUGCACAAGGACUAUGCAACUUAUACACUUGCCCAGGUCAAGAUGUGCUUCACAUAUUGGAGCAGUUCUGAAAAAACUGCCACUGGAAGGCAUAGAAGGAUGAAGCUUAGCAGACUGUUUCACCAGCCGUCCAACCAGCCUAGUUGUCUGACCUUUUCCAUCCUUUCCGAAACCUGUGAUCUUUGCCCAGUCCCACAAAUCCACAGCACGAAUAUCUUGUACUGGCUGUUCCCUAGAAUGAACUACUUGACCAUACUGAGCUUGCCAAUUUUCUUCAUCCCUUGAAGCAUCUGCAAGCAAAAAGCUCAUAACUCCCAGUCUAUAUCCACCCAGAAAGUGCCAUAGGUGAAGGACCUUAAGAAUAGAAUUUCCACACUUCACUCUUUCAUGCAUAGCUUUUGACAAGCGUUGUUGAGUGGUUUCAUUAGUAAAAUAUGAGUACUCACUGAAUGCAUCUAUAAGUAAUAAUUAUUAUGCACUUUGUUGAAGGGGUAAAAUCUAAACAAAAUAAAGCACUUGGCAAAGGGAAAAAUAAAUAGAACAUUCAUCAUUUCCAUUAGAUGAUCUUAAGCAGCACACUAGCAGGCAAUACCUUUAUCUAUGGUACUUUCACAUUCAUCAGUUACUUUACAAUGAUGUUCUGAGAUCCAAUCACCAUCUUUUAACAUCUGAGUAUCAUCAUUAGACGCACCUUACCAACAUAAAACCAUUUAGGUUAUGCUCAAAGCAGAGAAACUUUCAACCAAAGUGUACAGCACUUUUAUAAAGAAAAGAGUGACAAACCAUCAGCCGAACAGUUUAAGCUAUCGCCGCCAUUGACUUCCAAAGACGCUGCUGAAACAUCAACAUUAUUGAUUACUUGGUUAUACCCAGAGAGAUAAAGGUUGAUGAGGGUUUCUUCUAACCACUCUGAUGGUGGAGGUGGAUUUUCAGUUGGUUGAUCAGUAGUGCAUUUUGUGUACCCUGUUGAAAGAAUAGGGAAAAAAUAAUGCACUUACAAAAAAAAUUUACAUUGAAGUGUUUUCAAUAAGGCAAAAGAAACAAGCAAGUUGACAGGGAAGGCCUUAACCAGACUUAUCAACCACCUUGCUUGGUUGGUACAUGGACACAUCCUAACUAACCAUCAUGUAAAACAUAAAGUUAAUCACCACUUGAUGAAAGAAACAAGGCACGUGGCAGCUUUUAGACAUAGAUAAAUUUAAGAGAUAUUGUCAAAUUUUUAAAUGAUUAAAUUUUUUCUGUCCUAAUAAUUUUCUUUAGAUCAACAGAUACAAUCGGCUAUGACCCAGCAAAACUGCAAACUAUGGUGCAAAGAGAGGGUGCAACAAGGAGUAUACUGUUGGCAAUACAGUCUUAUAAUGUAAGAAACUGUUUUCUCAACAAUAAAUUUGUGAUUGAAGCAACACAAGCUAUCAACAAUUCUUACACAUGCACGGUGGCUCACCGAGAGCACUUUCAUCGGGAACAGUUUCACUAAAUGGGUAGGCAUCAGAUUGAUCCAUUGGCAAUGAAGAAACAUUCUCCUCACUAUGGCAACAGAACUGUGUAGAUGACUCAUCUUGAACAGAAUUAUCAGGAACUAUUCCUGGUGAACUAUGUGAUUCAAUUGCAUUAACCUUGUCGAAUUCCAAAAGCACAUAACUCCCAUUCUCAAACUUGUAAUAAAGUCCAUCUCUACUGCUAUAGUACCAGCCAGCAGUAGGGUCAUGGUAAAAUCCAGUGCUAGCAUGGAAGUAGAGGCGAGUGGUUUCGUCCCACACAAAUGAACAAUCAUCUCCCUCUGUCGCUUGCGAUUGCGAAUCGGUUUCUUUACUUUCCUCCAUCUCCAUGUCCGUCUCCAU
rnacentral:misc_RNA from 1 species